UCUUUUAAUUGAAGGCUCGUAUGAAUGGUUGAAUGAGAAAUUAACUGUUUCAAUAAAAAUUUUAUUUGAAAUUAAUAUUUUAGUAAAAAAGCUAAAAUUAAAUUUAAAGACGAGAAGACCCUAUAGAGUUUAAUAAUUUUAAUAUUAAAUUUAUAAAGAUUAAUUUAAGUAUAAUAUAAAAAAUUAUUUUAUUGGGGUGAUAGUAAUAUUUAAAUAACUAUUAUAUUUUAAAAUCAAUGAUUUUUGUAUAUUUGAUCCAUUAAUAUUGAUUAAUAAUUUAAAUUACCUUAGGGAUAACAGCGUAAUAUUUUUAGAGAGUUCUAAUCGAUAAAAAUGAUUGC
rnacentral:rRNA from 1 species